GCCCGGUUAGCUCAGCUGGUUAGAGCGUCGUACUAAUAUAGUUCCCUAGCGGGCUAUACUAAGUAAUGCGAAGGUCAACAGUUCAAUCCUGUUACUGGGCA